rnacentral:rRNA from 1 species
CACUGGCAGCUCAAGUGGUGGCAGUUUUUUAUUGGGCCUAAAGCGUUCGUAGCCGGUUUGAUAAGUCUCUGGUGAAAUCCUACAGCUUAACUGUGGGAAUUGCUGGAGAUACUAUCAGACUUGAGGUCGGGAGAGGUUAGAGGAACUCCCAGGGUAGGGGUGAAAUCCUAUAAUCCUGGGAGGACCACCUGUGGCGAAGGCGUCUAACUGGAACGAACCUGACGGUGAGUAACGAAAGCCAGGGGCGCGAACCGGAUUAGAUACCCUGGUAGUCCCUGAGCGGG